ACGCUCGACACCUACGGGAAGCAGCAGUUGGGAAUAUUGGACAAUGGAGGGAACUCUGAUCCAGUGACGCCGCGUGAAGGAAGAAGGUCUUCGGAUUGUAAACUUAUUUUAUCAGGGAAGAAAGAAAUGACAGUACCUGAAGAAGAAGGACCGGCUAACUACGUGCCAGCAGCCGCGGUAAUCUGAGCGGGCUGGCAAGGC
rnacentral:rRNA from 1 species